rnacentral:rRNA from 1 species
GACGAACGCUGGCGGCGUGCCUAACACAUGCAAGUCGAACGGACGAGGGGAGCUUGCUCCCUGAGUUAGUGGCGAACGGGUGAGUAACGCGUGAGAAAUCUGCCUCUCAGUGGGGGACAACAGUUGGAAACGACUGCUAAUACCGCAUAAUGUGUCCGGAGGGCAUCCUCUGGAUACCAAAGCUUUAUGUGCUGAGAGAUGGUCUCGCGUCUGAUUAGCUAGUUGGUGGGGUAACGGCUCACCAAGGCGACGAUCAGUAGCCGGUCUGAGAGGAUGAACGGCCACAUUGGGACUGAGAUACGGCCCAGACUCCUACGGGAGGCAGCAGUGGGGAAUAUUGGGCAAUGGGGGAAACCCUGACCCAGCAACGCCGCGUGAAGG